rnacentral:rRNA from 1 species
AAUCAACGCUGGCGGCGUGCCUCAGACAUGCAAGUCGAACGAUUAAAGCUCUCUUCGGAGAGUGCAUAGAGUGGCGCACGGGUGAGUAACACGUAAGUAAUCUACCUUCGAGUGGGGAAUAACGUCCGGAAACGGACGCUAAUACCGCAUAAUGCAGCGGCAUCGUAAGAUGACAGUUGUUAAAGAUUUAUCGCUUGAAGAGGAGCUUGCGGCAGAUUAGCUAGUUGGUAAGGUAAUGGCUUACCAAGGCUACGAUCUGUAACCGGUCUUAGAGGACGGUCGGUCACACUGACACUGAAUAACGGGUCAGACUCCUACGGGAGGCAGCAGUCGGGAAUUUUGGGCAAUGGGCGAAAGCCUGACCCAGCAACGCCGCGUGAAGGAUGAAGUAUUUCGGUAUGUAAACUUCGAAAGAAUAGGAAGAAUUAAUGACGGUACUAUUUAUAAGGUCCGGCUAACUACGUG